CCUACGGGGUGCAGCAGUGAGGAAUAUUGGUCAAUGGCCGGAAGGCUGAACCAGCCAUGCCGCGUGAAGGUCAGUGCCCUAUGGGCGUUAAACUUCUUUUGUGCGGGAGCAAUAAUGGUCACGUGUGGCCAGACGAGAGUACCGUACGAAUAAGCAUCGGCUAACUCCGUGCCAGCAGCCGCGGUAUUACGGGGACGGAAGGGUUAACCGGAUUUUUUUGGUUUAAAGGGGUCGUAGGCCGUGAGGUAAGUCAGCGGUGAAAUGCCCCCGCUCAACGGGGUGAAGUGCCAUUGAUACUGCCUUGCUGGAAUGCGGAGGCCGUGGGAGGAAUGUGUGGUGUAGCGGUGAAAUGCAUAGAUAUCACACAGAACACCGAUUGCGAAGGCAUCUCACGAAUCCGCGAUUGACGCUGAUGCACGAAAGCGUGGGUAUCAAACAGGAUUAGAUACCCUUGUAGUC
rnacentral:rRNA from 1 species